AGCGAAUAGAUACCCGGGUAGUCCACGCCGUAAACGAUGGAUACUUGUUGUUAGAGGUAUUGACCCCUUUAGUGACGCAAGCUAAACGCGUUAAGUAUCCCGCCUGGGGAGUACGGUCGCAAGAUUAAAACUCAAAGAAAUUGACGGGGGCCCGCACAAGCGGUGGAGCAUGUGGUUUAAUUCGAUGCAACGCGAAGAACCUUACCUGGGCUUGACAUGAACUGGAAGAGUGGCGGAGACGUCCUCGCCCGCAAGGGUCGGUUCACAGGUGCUGCAUGGCUGUCGUCAGCUCGUGUCGUGAGAUGUUGGGUUAAAGUCCCGCAACGAGCGCAAACCCUUACCUUUAGUUGCCAGCAUUUAGUUGGGUCGACUCUAAAGGGACUGCCUGCGUUAAGCAGGAGGAAGGUAGGGGAGUGACGUCG
rnacentral:rRNA from 1 species